CUACUAUGUUCAGAGUUUGAUCCUGGCUCAGGAUGAACGCUAGCUACAGGCUUAACACAUGCAAGUCGAGGGGCAGCACAGUGUAGCAAUACACGGGUGGCGACCGGCGCACGGGUGCGUAACACGUAUCCAAUCUGCCCGUUACUCAGGGAUAGCCUUUCGAAAGAAAGAUUAAUACCUGAUGUUAUGUAAUAUCGGCAUCGUAAUUACAUCAAAGAUUUAUCGGUAACGGAUGAGGAUGCGUAUGAUUAGCUAGUUGGUAGGGUAACGGCCUACCAAGGCGACGAUCAUUAGGGGUUCUGAGAGGAAGGUCCCCCACACUGGAACUGAGACACGGUCCAG
rnacentral:rRNA from 1 species